AAGCCCUCAGGUGCUGUCCCUGUCGCUGCCUCACUACGCUGAUCCUGGAUCAGUUAUUUCGUGCAGCUAUCACAGUUUGAGCCACUGUCUUCGCACAAACAUAUUCCCAGGUGCUAAUUAACAUGGAAAUCCCUCUCCAAGGACUCUUACGUUAGCCACCCUCGGACAGCUCGGCCUACGGACCCUCAUCUCUGGUACGGCCACAAAACCGACGACCUGGUCCAGUGGACAGAAAGAAACAUCAUGAACCAGAAACUCGACAAGAUGCUGACGGAAAUGAGAAAAAAGGCCCCCGCAAAAUGAGGUCCUGCUUC